rnacentral:rRNA from 1 species
GAUGAACGCUGGCGGCGUGCUUAACACAUGCAAGUCGAACGAAGCACCUUGAUUUGAUUCUUCGGAUGAAGAUCUUGGUGACUGAGUGGCGGACGGGUGAGUAACGCGUGGGUAACCUGCCUCAUACAGGGGGAUAACAGUUAGAAAUGACUGCUAAUACCGCAUAAGACCACAGCACCGCAUGGUGCAGGGGUAAAAACUCCGGUGGUAUGAGAUGGACCCGCGUCUGAUUAGGUAAUUGGUGGGGUAACGGCCUACCAAGCCGACGAUCAGUAGCCGACCUGAGAGGGUGACCGGCCACAUUGGGACUGAGACACGGCCCAAACUCCUACGGGAGGCAGCAGUGGGGAAUAUUGCACAAUGGGGGAAACCCUGAUGCAGCGACGCCGCGUGAGCGAUGAAGUAUUUCGGUAUGUAAAGCUCUAUCAGCAGGGAAGAAAAUGACGGUACCUGACGAAGAAGCACCGGCUAAAUACGUG